UCUCAAUCUCUAACAGAAACAAUCGGGGGCAGGGAGUGGGGUUGCAAAGAAAUCAUAAUUUUUCAAGUUUUAUUUUUUAUAGCAUAUAAAUGUAUUUAUGGGGAGAACAAUAUUGAAAAGCAUCAAUACAUGCGAGUGUGAUAAAGAAACGAGAAGGAUUGUCUUGCAAUGU